UUGCAGCCUAUUUUUCAUCUUACGAAAAUCUGGUGAAUAGAUGCUUUUAGACAAAUUCAAAUUCAAAAGACCGUCUUGUUAAUCUAAAAAUAUUUUUGAGAGUCGUCUUCCAAUCUACUACAUGCAAGAACUACUGAUAAGGAAGACAUGACAGAUACCGGCUAAUCUAUGAAAAGAACAUAAUUCCAGUUUAUUGCGUUGUACAAAAUCCAUAUGAGCAUCCUAAACAUGAAGAAAACUAGCUUCGUCUAUCUUACUACAACUCCACCUAACUUUACUGUGCUAUAAUAUGAGAGAGGAGACUGACGACUUCUCAAUUCUUCACGAGCUGAUUAAGAUUGAGACGAGAGCGAGACUGUCCUACUGUGUGACGAGUAACGAGUGAUGACGGAUGAGCAUGAGGCCACGAGUAGAUUUAGAUUUCGACUUCUCAGUUCUCAGUUUUCACUCGGCUGUAGAUUGAAU
rnacentral:lncRNA from 1 species